GAAAUUUUAAGUUAAAUAAAACUAUUAAUUUUCAAAAUUAAAAUUAAAAAAAAUUAAAUUUCA
rnacentral:tRNA from 1 species